AUUGAACGCUGGCGGCAUGCCUUACACAUGCAAGUCGAACGGUAACGCGGGGCAACCUGGCGACGAGUGGCGAACGGGUGAGUAAUACAUCGGAACGUGCCCAGUAGUGGGGGAUAGCCCGGCGAAAGCCGGAUUAAUACCGCAUACGACCUACGGGUGAAAGCGGGGGAUCGCAAGACCUCGCGCUAUUGGAGCGGCCGAUGUCAGAUUAGCUAGUUGGUGGGGUAAAAGCCUACCAAGGCGACGAUCGUUAGCUGGUCUGAGAGGACGACCAGCCACACUGGGACUGAGACACGGCCCAGACUCCUACGGGAGGCAGCAGUGGGGAAUUUUGGACAAUGGGGGCAACCCUGAUCCAGCCAUGCCGCGUGCGGGAAGAAGGCCUUCGGGUUGUAAACCGCUUUUGUCGGGGAAGAAACGGUCUGCGCUAAUACCGCGGACUAAUGACGGUACCCGAAGAAUAAGCACCGGCUAACUACGUGCCAGCAGCCGCCGUAAUAC
rnacentral:rRNA from 1 species